rnacentral:lncRNA from 1 species
UCCCAGGUAUAUCACUGUCCUUACUAUCUAGUUGCUCAUGAUCAUAUUCAGACCCAAGACUAGCAACCAUAUCAGUUCCUAUUUGAAUCCUCUGCAUCUUGUCAUCAGGCUGAUCACCAGUCACUGGCUUGCUAUGUAGUGUAUUAGCAAUUGCUUCACUAGCCACUGAGAUCUCAGGCAAGUUAGGCAUUGCUUUGGAACUCAAAUCCUCCCUUGCCAGAGUACUAUUGUUGACAAUGUUAUCUUUGGGGACCCAUUUCUGUCUUGGUUUCUUCCUUUCCAAUCUGUUUCUAAUCUCUUUAUUAUGAUCUGCCUG